GUGGGGAGGCCGCGAUAAGGGGGAUCGGGCCGGCCUGUCACGCGGCGCGGGGCCCCGUCUGCGUCUGUUCCCGCCGGCUCCCCGGGCCCCCCGGCCCUGCCAUCCCAUCUCACGUGGGAAAAGAAAGAGGCGGCCACCGCGGCCGAGAUGCCGGUGGCUGGGACGCGGGGCCGGGGCCCGGGUGAAAGGCAGCCCAUUGAAUCUCUCCGGCUGAUCUUAUCGGCCGCCGGAGAAAUGAGAUAUUGGCAGGGCCCGGGGACCGUCUCCCAGCCGAGCAGGUUAAUAAGGUUGGGAGGUAGGCCACGGGCUAAUUGGAUUUGCCCCGGCCCACAGAGUGGCAGGCCCACUGCCAGAGAGACAGACGCGGGGCGGGCGGCUUCUCCUUUGUUUAGACCUGAGCCGGGAGAGGGAGAAAUGAGGCCGCCCCUUGGAAGGCGACGAGUCUUCCCGAAAUCCCGGCCCCGGGCAGACCCCGAGUCUCACCCUCUGCGGCUGAAGCGGCUGGCUUCCGAUUUGCACCAGAGAGUGUUUAACCUCGCCGACCCCGGGCGGCAGGUGCAUGUGGGAAUCUCAGAGCCCGGGAGCCGGCUGGAGCGACAUUUGUGGAAGGACAGUCGCCAUCACCCUUGGAUUGGGGGUUUCAGAGGAGAUAAAGACAAGCGGUUAAAGACUUGCCAUCAAAGGGCACACUAUCUGCAUGAUGUCCGUGUACAAUGUUGAGAAAUCUGGGGGAGCCUCACCCCACACGUCCUUCUCACGGGUGAUUCUACGCCACUUGAGAAGUACAAGAAUCAGGUAGACUAAAUAAAAUGCCUGUUCUGUUUCCAGUAAAGCUAACUAGGAGAAUGUGACUGAGACCCGAGGCAUCAAGUGUCCUCCUUUUUUGUGGCCUGUAGGUGGGGGCCACAGCCAGGAUGACGGAGGAGGGCCGGGCCUCACCUGGCCCCACUAGGAAGCAGCACAAAGGGCCUAGAGUCCCGCGGACAUCAGGCUGGCGUCCAAAUGAGUUAUCGGGCGGCAGGGAUACUGACUCCACUUUCUUCCCCGUAUGAGCCACUCUGACGUCAAGGGCGAGAGCUGAGACUAGGGGAGAAGGCCAUUCUGGAGGCCAGGGGCCGAGUCUCCCCGAAGCACACUGACAUGGGAAGUUGCCUACAUGGGGGCAAGCAAGAUCCAGAAUGCUUGACAGAGUUCCAGGCUCCAGAGCCUCGAUUAAGUUUCCCAAAGUGGAAUGAGUUAGAAGUAAUUUUUUUUUUUGGCCUUUUGGGAUAUUAACCCUAUUGAUUUGUUUAUCCAAAAACAUUUGCGGACUGCCUGCCGUGUGCCUCCAGAUACAUCCAUGAACAAACAUGGGGAGACCCUGGGGCCUCAGGAGCUGGAGCCGUAGGCGAGGAAGACAAUCGACAUCAACUAUAAACUUAAUUAAAUGUAAAUAAGUCAAUGUGUUGGCGGUUUUGAGUGUCCUAGAUGAAAAUAAUGCGAGCCAGGUCAGGGAGAGGGAAAGCGGGGGACAGAUGCUGUGUCUGACAUAGUGUGGUCAGGGCUGGCCUUAGGGAGAAGGUGGGUAAGGGAGAAGUCACAGUCUGUGGCCUCGGGAGGGGCAGGGGGCUCGCUGAGAAGGACAACCGCAGAAGAGGCAGUUUAGGGGGUACGAUCAGGCUUGCGAUCGCUGGGAGGUGUUCAUGGGUUUAUUUGUUACCAUUGGAUGUUUCUGGAGAGGCCGGGGUAUAGGAGACAAGCUGGGUAGAAGGACAAAUCUGGAAAAUGUCAGCACCUGAAUGGUGUGUUGGAAACCAGGGCACUGACAAGACCACUAAGGAAGCUAGUCGGGACGGAGAAGAGGAGGGGCCACACUGGGGGUCCCAGGCGAGCAGACGAAUGGGGCUUGGAAGGAGGUGCAGCUGGAGGGGUUGCUCAUGCUGGAGGGUGACAGCCGAGUCCCGGGAGGGAGCAGGCUGCACGAGGCCUGGAGCGCCCUGCGUCCCGAGGGCCCUGCGGCCAAGGAAAGCAAAGACCCAGGGGGUAGCUGGAAGGGGGUGCGGGCACAGGGAAGGGAUUUUGCUUGAUUCUUUGCUUUUCUGGGGGAGAAGUGGUAGCUAGAGCCUAAGGAGAUGAUGAGCAGAGGAGGACCCCGGGGAGAGAUGUGGUGAGCAGGGUGGGACCCAGCGGGCAGGUGAGCUGUUCCUCGGCUUCCUGUAUCCUUCAGUACAUGUGUGUGUGUGUGUGUGCACCUGUCACUGCAGGGAAGGGGGGGGCGCACCGUGCAGAGGCUCGUCCCCACGGCCCUUUGUUCCUUAAGUAAGAGCCAUCGGUGUGUGACUCAGGUCCCUGAAGCAGAUGUCAAGGCAGAUGCAAGCGGGUAAGGAGCCCCGGGGUCCCAGCACCUUCACUCGGACCAGCACCAAGCAGGCUCCAGGACGCCCGCGAGGGGCAGGGGGAGGAAGAUGGGCUCAGGUCCCCUUUCCAUUCUACGCUUCCCCCCAAGUCAGCGUCACAAAUGAGCCUCACAAGACGGUAACUGGCAUUUUAGAUUCAUCGUCUGUUGGAUAUGCAGGUGUGGGAAGCCGAAUUCCACUUACAUGUUUAUUUAUUCCCAUUUUCUAUAGGAAAACGUGCUCGUGUUUAAAACUGAUGUAACGUCAGCCGUGGUCCAAGACCUUGACUGGGUCAUCCUGUCCUCAAAGGCGGCAUCACCCAGAAAACAGCGAUGGGAGCCCGUGACAGCCCAGCCGCUCUGGCUGAAGGUUUGGGGGGGGGGGGCUGGCGCUUGGAGCACAGGCCGCCUCCCUCUUGCCCCCUUGCUGAGACCCCCCAAAGCCCCGACUCUCUGUUCUAGGCCACCCCGCGGUGGGUUAGACAGCAACACGUUUGCUCACACUUAGCGCCAGGCCUGUUGCUCCUGAGUUUUCGCCACGCGAGCGCCACGAAGCCAAGGUCACGGCAGCAGGCGCCCUUUCCAGACUUGCCCGGAGCGCACGGCCAGCCCCCAGCACUGCGCAUUGUGCCUGGGCUCUGGCACCUCCCCCGAGUGACGAUGACGUGUAAGUGUCACAGUGGCCACAACCCAGGUGCCCAAAGACCGCACCUCCCCAGGGAGGCUGUGGAUGCAGACUCACAGGGGGCCCCAGACCCCGAGGGGACGCUGGCUCGGGGAGGGACAGGGUUUGGGGCGGCAGAGAACGGGCUUGUGUUGCCCUGGGAGGUGGUGCGAGCCAGCGGCUGAUGGGUCGUGCCGGGUUUGGAGGGACCAACCUGCUGCGCUCUGGGCGACCCCGGCACAGCGACGGGGAGUGGGCAGACCCGAGAACGUGCUGGAGAAGCCGGGCGCCGCGGGCACGUGAGGACUCGUUGUUGAGGUCUGUUCUCUCACCUCUACCGCCUGGUCCACACCUGAUCUUUGUGGCCUGGGGACACAGAAAGGUAUGUGACGGCCUGAAUAGUCCUCUCUCAGACCACGAAGCUCCCCUGUCGUUACACGCGGCUCCCUGGGGGUGCUCCCGUAACAAAGCGCCACAAACAGCGUGGCUGAAAGAGAGAUGGGUUGUCUCCCAGUUCUGGAGGCUGGAAGUCCGACACCAACGUGUGGGCAGGGCUGGUUCCCGGGAGCUGUGAUGGCAAACCUGUUCAGGCCUCUCCCCUGGACUCUGGGGCUUGUCCGCAAGCCUUGGCGUCCCUGGCGCAUGCCUGUAUGAGCCCCGUCUCUGCCUUCGGCUCACAGGGUGUCUCCAGGCUUGGGGCUUCCCUCUUCCAUCAGGACACAGCCAUCUUGGACCGUGGACCCACUCUCCCCCAGCGUGACCUUGUCCUAGCUAAUUACUCCUACGACGACCCAGUCACACUCUGAGACACUGGGGUUUAGGACUUCACCAUAUGGAUUUCGACCCCGAACGGCAAGACCCUUAUCCCUUCCUCAGAGAAUCCCUGGAUCUAAUCAGCCUUCUUGCCCCAUGCAUCAAAGAUCAAUAAUCCCUAACACCCUUGCCUGCUGCAGAAAUGGGAAAUAUUAAAUCAAGCCUUGCUCUCUGGAAGAAAAAAAAAAGGAGAGAAAGUCUAUGGAACAAAAUGCAAUAUUAUAAGAACUGUUCUGCAGCAGAAGGGAGCACGUUCAGUCAGGGUAAAUAAAGAAAAGAAAACAAUUUCAACCAAACUUUGCUUCAAAUUAAAAUGCAGGCUUAUUUUUAAAGAAAGAAAAAUCACCCCUCACUGUAAGUGUACG